UUUAGAUCAUGUAUGGGGGUGAGCAAAGGAGCAGGAAGAGGCAGAACAACAAGUGUUUCCCCAACAAAACAUGGGGAGACACUUGGAACAUCUCAACUGGGCAGAGGUGGAUUCUCCCAGCAACGGAGAGGGUGGAUAGUGGAGUGGAAAAGUCAGACUUGGCCAGGAAAUGGGAACAUGGAAAAUGGAAAUGAAGUCAUUUGUCUGAGGCCACGCAGUGAUGGGAAUGGGGCUGGGAUUUGAACACAGGAUCUGACCUCAGUGAUAAACUCCACUCUGAGUGCCUCUCCUGGAGAAGGGAGCCAAAGGGUAAUGAGGCUUUUCUGGGCUUCCUGCCGACUCCAUCCCCGAGUGCUCUCUUACAGGUGGAAAGGCUAGUAGAGGUCUGUCUCAACAGGUGCUGGUGGGAACGAAGGAGAGGGUGUGUAUAGGGUGCAUCAACAGUGAAGAAGAAAGGGGGAGAAAAAAAUAAAAGGAUGCUGUUGAGCUCUCAGGAGAUUCUUCAAGAGAUGUUAAGGAAAGCUCAUGGACAAAGUAAAUUCAGGAGCAGAACUUACAAGAUUUCUAAGCCAGACAUGUUCACUGUUUCAAAAAAAAAAAAAAAAAAAAAAAAGCUGAACAUCAGAAAACUAUAAAGAAGAAAAUGAGAAUUCCAUGUUCUAGUAGUGAGAGAAAAUGGUUCUGAAAAUUUUGCUGCCCACCCCCUAGAUUUUCUCUAUGCAUUGGCAUGGAUGGGGAUACACUUGCUGUCCUGAAGAAAAAUGGGUCCAACUAUGCAAAUCCCAAUUACCGGCAUUGUUAAUAUUCUGGGGACAUCUUCCCAUUCUGGUAGAUAGAACUCUGCAGAAUCACUUUCAAUCAUCACAGAGUACUUUAUUGCAUGUAUUUUUA